CGGCCCUCCACCCUCCACCCUCCGUCCCAACGCACACACCACAGGCAUCUCUGGAGCUGCCUUGCCAGAAGGGAGGAUUAGGUUGCAUAGAACCAUUUUCAUUCUCAGACCUAGAAUGAUUUGGGGUGCAUCCAGGAGUCCAGCUUCUUGCCUGCUUCCCACCAGCAGGCCAGCCACAAGAUCUGACCCCCCGAGGCUCAGUAUGGCAUCCUCACGUGAUCCAGUGCAUCAUAUGCACAUCAGGGACCUGCCCAGCACCUGCUGUGUCUCCAGAAACAGUCCUGAAGAGCCGUAGUCAUGGUCCAUUUUUGCAUCUGUGGCCUGUCUACCUGAGGAAGAGGCUGGGCCUGGAGCUGUGACUGAGGCUAAGUGCGCAACACCCGCUUUUUAAAAAAACAGUCCUGGAAUAGGCUGCUUGCUUCAACUCUGCACAGCCUCCUGCUCUGGGAAAUACAGAAUUAAUUGAAUGACAUGUGCAGCGAUUACGGGAAGGAGAUGGGUGGGGGAGGACUGUCUGUGGAUCCUGCCAAGGAGACUAGGAAUUAAUUCAACCUGUCACUUUAUACUGAGCUCCCUUAGCAGGUGUCCAUGGAGCAGUCACCCCAUCUAUGCUGAAUACAGUACCUCACAGCCUGAGCAUACACUUGGCAGAGCCAACCAGGGCCUCUGGGAGGCCCACAGAGAGGCUGUGGCACUAGGGCAGGACAGGCACAACUGUAGCCGCAAGUGCUGUUCCAUUCCAUCCCAUUGCAUUCAGUCCCAUGUUAGCUCACCACCUACCAGGUACUGGAAAUGUGCCAAGGUUGAAAGUAACAUGAUCUUCUAGCUGAAGAAACUCACUGCAGAGCAGGGAAGGCAUCCGGCUAUACACAGAGCAUUUCUAGACUGAAUAAGAAUCCCGAGUUCAAACAUACUGCAAGCUCUGGUGAGAACAGGGAACAUCCACACUCUCUUAUUCAUACUUGUAAUCUCAGUGCCUGACACAGAGACCCACCAGAACAGAGUAAGUGCCUAAUAACAUGUUUUUUGAACAAGUAAAUGAACAAAUGCCCCGAUGACCUAAGUUGGACUAGCAAGAUUGCUGGAGCUCUGUGAGGAGUUAGGAUUCAACAUGUUCUCUGCUGAUCAUCCCUCUCCUCAGACCCCUGGGUUUCCUCUUAGGAGGUCUUCCUUUCCUCCCCAAAUGUACCCCUCCAAAUCUGAGCUCUGCAAUUUUGCUUUCAAUGAACGAUUUUAUGUCCCCCAAGCCCAAGUUGCCAAAGGUACUAAUAUUAGCAGAUCAGAGUCAGCACAGAGGUGCUUUAAGAUGCUUAGCCUGGCUGGGGAGCCCUAGACAGAGCUGGAUGUAUUUUUAGCUCUUCGGGUAUCUGGAAAGGUAUUGAGAUGCAGUCGUUGUUACAGACACCCGGGCCUAUCAGUAUUCUGCUACUGGCCUCCCCACACCAGCAGUUUCCAUUCAGUGUCUCAAAAGCAGGGGUUGCCAUGGAGAUUGAGUGCCAGGACAACCGAACUUCCUGUCAGGAAAUAACGGCACAGGUAGAGCUCUGGACCAAUGGGAAUCGAGGAGCUUCUUGGAUGACCACAGCUUCCUCUCCUAAAGCCAAAUGAUGGCAGAAUUCCCUGAUGCCCUUGGAAGGGGUCAGCCUGACAACAGAGGACAUUGUCUCUAGAGCUUCAUUCUGGGAGGGAUCGACUAUUGCUCCCUCACACCUGCCAUGGACUGGUUUAUUUCUCUCCCCGUUUCUUUCUUCUCCAGAAGGCUUUGGCUGCCCACAGAGUCCAGAAGCUGCUGGGGAGAGAAAGACAGAAGGGUCAUUUUGUAUCAGAAGCCAGUCCUGGCAAAUACACAGAAUACGAGCUCUGGCCCAGGCUGGGGAAGGCCAGGUCACCUAAGUCCUAGAGCCAUUAGAAUUACGGAGACUCCCUCUUCUGGGUAGCACAGUACAGAAUUACCUUAUUUUUUUCCUUGCUGUUUCCUGUGUACCUGGUAGGUAAAAAAAAAAAAAAAGAUGAAAAAUAAAACCUCCAAGAGGUCAUGGUGACCACCUAUAGUGACAAAGCUGGUAAGAGGUGAAAGUGUUAGAACACCCAGGUCUGUCUAGUCCAUAGACUCAGAGGGUAAGACCCAAGAAGCUCUUAGAGAGUGUUUACUCUGACACACUUCACAGAAAAUCAACUGAGGCCCAGAAAGAGCGUGUGACUUGGUCCCUGAGGGAGCAGGUGAUGGAGCAGGACCAGGAUUCUUCUGGGCACUUUUUUUUUUUUA
rnacentral:lncRNA from 1 species